AUACGGAGGAUCCGAGCGUUAUCCGGAUUUAUUGGGUUUAAAGGGAGCGUAGGCGGAAGUUCAAGUCAGUUGUGAAAUGUAGAUGCUCAACAUCUGCACUGCAGUUGAAACUGGUGUUCUUGAGUGCGUAAGAGGUAGGCGGAAUUCGUCGUGUAGCGGUGAAAUGCAUAGAUAUGACGAAGAACUCCGAUUGCGAAGGCAGCUUACUGGGCCGCAACUGACGCUGAAGCUCGAAGGUGCGGGUAUC
rnacentral:rRNA from 1 species